UUCCUCUUAGACCAGUUGGUAGAGCACAUCACUAGUACUGAGGUGUUCCUAGCUGAUGACGAGGUUAGUCGUUCAAGUCGGCUAGAGGGAA